rnacentral:snRNA from 1 species
ACGCUUCGGCAGCACAUAUACUAAAAUUGGAACGAUACAGAGAAGAUUAGCAUGGCUCCUGUGCAAGGAUGACAUGCAAAUUCGUGAAGUGUUCCAUAUUUUU